GAGUGACGUCUCCCUGGAGCCUAGAAGGUCCUGCCUCUUCCUCUGAUUGUACACUAAUAGCAUCAGUUCUGGGAACAUGUCAGGCUCCUUCUUCACUCCGGUUACCACAUGCCCAGCACAGUGGGACCUGACAUGGAGAAUACAGCACUCUUCCUGAUCUCAUGGAGCCUGCAGUCUAGCUGAGGAGAAGCUCACACAGGACACCAUGUGAAUACCAUUGAAAGCGGGGGAGAAGAGCAGAGACAGAACUGAGAAGCACAAAGACAAACCAGAGAGAGGCGCUGAGAUCUCUUCCUGCGCUUUCAUCCUACUUUCCCAGCACAAGGGUACUGGGCACCGGGGAUUCUAGAAAAGGCUUGCUCUGGACCAGCGCCUGAUGCCCCGUUUGUGCUCCUGGAGAGUUUGUGAGAAGAGGGGCUCAGGGAAGGGUGUACUCUCAAGGCCAGACCAGCUGAGGGAUGCUGAGGUGACCCUCACCGCAGGUCAGACACUGUUCCAGGCCCUUUCCAGGAAAUAAAUCAGUUUGUCUUCGAUAGCUCUUACAAAAAAGAAACUGAGGCCAAGGAAGGUUAAGCAUCUUGCAAAGAUGACACAGACACAUCCAGAAAACGGCCGGCUAAGAUUUGAAAACAGGGAGUUUGGGGCCCGUCCUGCCGCUCAGAGGGGGUCCCUCUCUCCCUCCUCCAAGUCUCCCCUGUCCACCCAGCCCCUCAAUCUCUUUGCCCUCCAACUUCCUCAAGUAUGUUAUCUGUACCUCUCAUGGGCUCUUCAA